AGGUGGGGCCGUUAUGGCGGCGGGAGGGUGGUUUCGCCGGAGCUGUGAGUCCCCCGAGGGUGACAGGGCAUAGAGCGCCCCGCAGAGCCCCUGGUUCGCUGUGAAGAGCCGGUGACACCUCGUGCGAGCAGAGGCACCCGAUGGGUGCGGGAGUGAUACAGCUGCGAGUCAAUAAGGUCAUUAAAGGAAGGUUUAAUGGCGGGAGCGGGUUCCCCGUGGCCACCGGUUGGCGGUCGCUCUGUGAACCCUGGGGUAGAGGCCUCCCAUGAUAAUCUUGCAGACUUGGCUGAUAAGUUGCAAAAAUGCUGCAGAGGAAGAAAUGUCGAUGUUGAAAGCCGAGUGUGAAGCUUGUUCUCAUUCCAUCGCAGUUGGCAGUGUGAUUACUUCAGACAGAUCAGCACAAAGCUACAGCUCAUGUAGCUAAACCCAAGUAACGGGACGACGAGGCUCCUCGGGCUCGAUCUGCCUGGGCUCGGCUGCAAGAAGGCCAGUGUCGGCAUCAGCUGGGGGAAGACCAGCACCAUGUGAUGAGCUGGAGCAACUCAGCAAACUGGAGCUGUUUUUUCAAGAGCAAAAGCUGCAGUGGGAAAACCCAGCGAGGACAGUUGGGCCUUUCUGCUCUUGUGAGGAAGUCCGUGUGUCUCCCCGUGGAAUUACGUGGCAGCAGGAUACAAGCUUCUAGUGUUGGCGCAUCAUUUGGAGAUGAGUAAUUCUUGAUGUUUGAUCGACUCUGAGCUCCGUGUGAGGGCUGAGAAGUUUUGAGUUGGAGCCCGGGAGUAGCCGGUCAGCUUUCAAAUAUUAGGAGCUGAAAAGAGACGUGUCAGCUUCCUGAGUGAAGAAAGGGGGCAGCCGAUGGGAUGUUUGGCCUCGGCUGGUGCUAUCAGCUGCGUGCACGCGUCGUGCUUGGUCGCUGCGGUUUAAAUGUACAAGAGCAAAGAUCAGAGCCCUUCCCCGGCCACGUCUGAGCCAGGCGCCAUCAGAUAAAUGCUCUUUUUCACCCCUGACGCCCACAGCGGAAGGGAGUGGGAGACAAGAUCAGCUGCUCUCCUCUCUCCGCGCCCAUGGGCAAGUAGAGAAGGUGGUGGUCUCCUUUCUUCCUCUCAGCCUUGAAAGAGCAAAGAGUAACCACAAAAAGGGAACACAGCGUGAAGGAGGGGUGAAUAAUCCCAGCAUGAGAUUGUCAUGAACACAGACAGUGCAUCUUAGGGCUACCCUGGCAGCAGAUUUACCCAGAUUGGUGGAUCCGGCCAUUAAAACUGCACUUAUUUCUGAAAAGCCGCCUUUGGUCCUUCCCUAUCUCCCUGCCCCAAGAGCUGAUCCACCAGUGCUCUGCUCAACAAACUUCUCUUUCUCCUCCCUGCAUGCUCCGGGUUUCACUGGGAAGACUCUGUCCUCCUGCCCGUGCUUGUCGGUACCCAGUGCUGCCAGUAUUCUAGAGCUACUGGUCUAAGUCCUGUGCUGGACACAGCCCCAAAGCCUCAUCUGGUUUUAGGUGCCAACAUUUCACUGCUGCCACUGGGAUCCAGAGACCAAAACAUCUUUGGAUUGCUUUAGCCGUAUCUUAUAACGACACCGAAAUAUCACAGAAGAGCUAACCAGGCAUCUCUCAGGAUUUCAUCACCUGCGUCCUACCUGGCUGUCCUCGGUCACCAGCUCAGCAAGUGGGAUAAGACCAGUAGCGUGGUCAAAAUUCCCCUCCCAGCAAAUCAGGGUCGAUGGAGCAGAGCGGAGCGCGAGGCUUGAAAUCGCUGCAGUCGCAGCUUCGGGGUCGGUGCAGCGUUUUUUAUAGAACCCGCUCGGCAGAUUCCGGGCAGGAACAAUUUCCCUACUGUAAAAAUGAGAAAAUGUGAAUAUUUGUUCCUGCGAAACACAUUUUUUCACCAUUGGGACAAGAACUGAGUGUGUAACUUGGCUAAUGUUUAAAAAGGAACUGAAAGUAUUUGAGUUUCGAGUUUUUCAAAUUCACUUUUUGCUAAUUUUAUCAUCUCCGUAAAAGAUUUAUUUCGGUCUUUUUAGCUAUAAAGUUAUUUCUGCUGAUUGUGAAAUUU